UACGUAGGGUGCAAGCGUUAUCCGGAAUUAUUGGGCGUAAAGAGCUCGUAGGCGGUUUGUCGCGUCUGCUGUGAAAACUGGGGGCUCAACCCCCAGCCUGCAGUGGGUACGGGCAGACUAGAGUGCGGUAGGGGAGAUUGGAAUUCCUGGUGUAGCGGUGGAAUGCGCAGAUAUCAGGAGGAACACCGAUGGCGAAGGCAGGUCUCUGGGCCACUACUGACGCUGAGAAGCGAAAGCAUGGGGAGCGAACAGG
rnacentral:rRNA from 1 species